CCGGUUGAUCCUGCCGAAGGCUACUGCUAUUGGAGUUCGAUUAAGCCAUGCGAGUCUAAGGGAUCUUCGGAUCCCUGGCGUAAUGCUCAGUAACACGUGGAUAAUCUACCCUCAGGUGGGGCAUAAACCCGGGAAACUGGGGCCAAUUCCCCAUAGAUACAGAUGGCUGGAAUGCUUCUGUAUUCAAAGCUCCGGCGCCUGAGGAUGGGUCUGCGGCCUAUCAGGUUGUAGUCAGGGUCAAGACCUGACUAGCCAGCGACGGGUAUGGGGUGUGAGAGCACUUGCCCAGAGAUGGUUUCUGAGACACGAAACCAGGCCCUACGGGGCGCAGCAGGCGCGAAAACUUCGCAAUGCGGGAAACCGUGACGAGGGAACUCCAAGUGUCUAUGCAUUGCAUAGACUGUUUUUUAGCCUAAAUAGCUAUUAGAGUAAGGGGUGGGCAAGACCGGUGCCAGCCGCCGCGGUAACACCGGCACCUCGAGUGGUAGCCACUAUUAUUGGGCCUAAAGCGUUCGUAGCCGGUUUGGUAAAUUCUUGGGUAAAUCGUACCGCUUAACGGUGCGGAUUCCGGGGACACUACCAGACUUGAGACCGGGGGAGAUCAGAGGUACUUGCGGGGGAGCGGUGAAAUGUUGUAAUCCCGCAGGGACCACCAGUGGCGAAGGCGUCUGAUCAGAACGGCUCUGACGGUGAGGAACGAAACCCUGGGGCGCAAACGGGAUUAGAUACCCGGGUAGUCCUAGGUGUAAACGCUGUGGACUUGAUGUUGGGAGUGCUCCGAGCACCCUCAGUGUCGAAGCGAAGGUGAUAAGUCCACUGCCUGGGGAGUACGGUCGCAAGGCUGAAACUUAAAGGAAUUGGCGGGGGAGCACUGCAACCUGAGGAUUGUGCGGUUUAAUUGGAUUCAACGCCGGG
rnacentral:rRNA from 1 species